UCUCACCCUCUCUAUCCUCUGCUAUUUGUACCCCUCGUUUCCCCUCCCGCACGCUCCCUUUCCUUUCGCUCGCCUUUCUCGCGGAAACCGAGGUUCCCAAACCAAAACCUCCACCCGCGACCACAGAGAUCGUCACAUAAGAGAGAUGAGAGCGAAGAGGUAGAGCUGUAGAUAGAUAGAGGUAGAGAGAGAAAGGUAGAGGUGGAGAGAGAGAGAGAUGAGACAUCUGAUUCCUCUGAGUGUCAGGUCUAGCUUGCUUGUUGUGUAUCUCGACGCAAGUCUUUACUGGAUACUGUACCAUGAUGGCGAGUUGUAAAUUAUAACAAAAGCAUGACAUUUUAGAGAACUAUAGAUAAGAUUUAGUUAGUAGUUUCUGUCAAUUUGUUUGUAUAUAAAAAAUGGGAAAAACAAAUUUAGAUACAUUGGGUAACUGUGUGACUAAUGUGUUCAAUCUUAAGAGGAAGCGAGACUCUGUUGCAGAUCGAAUUCUCUGCAGCUCCUGUUACAAGAAAGUGUGUGAAACUAACCCUAACCCUAAUUGUCAUCAGACUAGACACAUAGUGAAAAGCUAUCAGAAUUUUAUGACCAGUGGGUUGCCUCAGCGCAUACUAUUUUAUCAGAAUGGUGCAUGGAUGGAUUUUCCAGAGCGCAUCAUCAGCUCUGUGCGAAGUGAUUUCCAAUCAAAGAAAGCAAUUACUGAAGCAGUGUACGAAAACCAGCAAUUACUGUUGGACUUUGUGCACAUGAUUUGCAUAUAUUUGGAAACAGGUCUAAAAAAGCCAAUUGGAUGGAUUGAUCAAAAUGGUAAAUGUUUCUUUCCAGAAUUGCAUUCUGAUGUUUAUGCAUCAGAUGGAUAUAACUGUACUAAUAAAGAGAAACAUCGUAAAACUAAUUUCUGUGAGGAGAUGUCUGUUAGUGAAGCUGAAAGCUCAAACUCAGAACCAAACGAUGAAGUAAUUUCCAAUGUUAAACGGGUUAGGAGUGAAGAAGGUUCCAAAACUAACUGGGAGCUACAUACUGAAGGGAAAGAAACAGUGGGAGAAUAUGAAUCUAGUUCUGUUUUUUCCUCUUUUAUGGUUUCUCUUGGACAAGCUGGUGGUCCAGCUGUUGGCUGUGCUGUGCAGAACAUGUUGCUCAAGGGAUUGGGCCCGCUGUUUGAUGCAAAGGACAUAAUUGGAAUUUACAGAAUCCCGUUGUUUGAUAAAUUGGGCCAAGUUCGCUUUCAUCGUUUCCAGAAACAGGUGGAGCGUACUAAAAAUCUCCGUGGCAAUGCAAAUGUCCGUUAUGCCUGGCUUUCUUCUUCUAGAGAUGCUGUUGAGGACUUGAUGUUGCGGGGUGUGUUCCACAUUAGGAACUCUUUGUGUUGGCCUGAUUUUGGCAUUGGCACUCAUCUUGCUCCAGCAAACUGCUCCAAUGUUUGUACUGGUUAUUCUGAUGUUGACGAAAAUGGCAUUAUGCGAAUGAUGCUGUGCCACGUUAUAAUGGGCAAUGCGGAAGCCAUUCCUGCUGGAUCUAAACAGUUCCAACCCAGUAACAAAAAUUUUGAUAGUGGUGUAGAUGAUCUUCAAAACCCGAAACAUUAUGUUGUAUGGGAGAUGAAUGUGAACACUCACAUAUAUCCAGAAUAUGUCGUAACCAUCAAAGUGCCUUCGAAAGCUAAAGAUAGUCUGGCUGUCAACAAAAGCACUUCUAAUGAGUCUGGGGUCACAAGUUCUACUUUUCCUCAUAGCCUAUUGCAGGAUGGGGGUAUUCGGACACAUCCAGCUUUCCCAAAUCAAUCUCAGAAUCCUGUGUUUAGUGGAGCUCCAAGGGUUCCUACUUCACCCUGGAUGCCUUUCUCGAUGUUAUUUGCUGCAAUCUCAACAAAAGUUUCUCCUCAAGACAUGGACUUGGUUAACACUCAUUACGGAGAAUUCAAGAGAAAAAAGAUAAGUCGGAUUGACCUGGUGAAGAAGUUGAGAGAGAUAGUUGGUGACAAACUGUUGAUUUCAACAAUUAUGAGGCUUCAGCACAAGCAGUUGGACUGACAGCGCUGUCUGGUAAAUCUCACCGCCAGUCGAUGAACUUCAAGUGGAGUUUCAAUUUGGCCCCUGAAACUUCAGAGUGUGCAUGCUCAAACAUACACCAUCCUCCGUUAGAGAUGCCACCGAUGGCGGGACCUGAUCUUCCAAGAUCCUGCAUAGCCAAUCGUUGAUAUCGUGAAAGGAAUGUACGGCUGGCUAAAAAGCGCAUCAAGUGGGCAUGGGAGGUUGCAGGUUGAGUGACGCUUGCUGGUUUUUCUUGAACAUCGAGUUUAUCAUAAAAUUAAGGUAGGUUUUACAUUAAAGUGACUGUAUAUUAGUUUCUUUUAAUGAAUGCUUUGUGAAACAGUUCUCUUCCCUCAUAUUCUUCUUAUCAGUGACUGUGUACUCUCUUCUUUUGACCAGUAUGUGAUGAAGUAGGGAGGGAGUGCUUUUGCUUGUUCUAGCUGUGCAUGAAUUGUUUUGGCUUUUGUUAUGUCUAUGGGUACAACCAACUUUUUUUGCAACUUCAAUUGUGUGAUGGUAUCUCGUUGGCCUUUAA